rnacentral:lncRNA from 1 species
AUGAUUCCCUGCUCCACCAAUACAUCCAGUGUAUAUAAAGAUAAUCCAUUCAUAAGCCUUUUAGUGGGCUACCCUGUCCUCAGUGGUCCUCAGAGAGACACCACACCAGGGACAACCCUGUCCUCAGUGGUCCUCAGAGAGACACCACACCAGGGACAACCCUGUCCUCAGAGAGACACCACACCAGGACAACCCUGUCCUCAGAGAGACACCCCACCAGGGACAACCCUGUCCUCAGAGAGACACCCCACCAGGACAACCCUGUCCUCAGAGAGACACCCCACCAGGGACAACCCUGUCCUCAGUGGUCCUCAGAGAGACACCCCACCAGGACAACCCUGUCCUCAGAGAGACACCCCACCAGGGACAACCCUGUCCUCAGAGAGACACCCCUCCAGGGACAACCCUGUCCUCAGAGAGACACCCCACCAGGGACAACUCGUCCUCAGUGGUCCUCAGAGAGACACCACACCAGGACAACCCUGUCCUCAGAGAGACACCACACCAGGGACAACCCUGUCCUCAGAGAGACACCCCACCAGGGACAACCCUGUCCUCAGUGGUCCUCAGAGAGACACCACACCAGGACAACCCUGUCCUCAGAUAGACACCACACCAGGGACAACCCUGUCCUCAGUGGUCCUCAGAGAGACACCACACCAGGACAAUCCUGUCCUCAGAGAGACACCACACCAGGGACAACCCUGUCCUCAGUGGUCCUCAGAGAGACACCACACCAGGGACAACCCUGUCCUCAGAGAGACACCACACCAGGACAACCCUGUCCUCAGAGAGACACCCCACCAGGGACAACCCUGUCCUCAGAGAGACACCCCACCAGGACAACCCUGUCCUCAGAGAGACACCCCACCAGGGACAACCCUGUCCUCAGUGGUCCUCAGAGAGACACCCCACCAGGACAACCCUGUCCUCAGAGAGACACCCCACCAGGGACAACCCUGUCCUCAGAGAGACACCCCACCAGGGACAACCCUGUCCUCAGAGAGACACCACACCAGGACAACCCUGUCCUCAGAGAGACACCACACCAGGGACAACCCUGUCCCCAGUGGUCCUCAGAGAGACACCACACCAGGGACAACCCUGUCCCCAGUGGUCCUCAGAGAGACACCACACCAGGGACAACCCUGUCCCCACCCACAUUUCCCCACCUGA